CGGAGGGUGCAAGCGUUAUCCGGAUUCACUGGGUUUAAAGGGUGCGUAGGUGGGUUGGUAAGUCAGUGGUGAAAUCCCCCGAGCUUAACUUGGGAACUGCCAUUGAUACUAUCAGUCUUGAAUAUUGUGGAGGUCAGCGGAAUAUGUCAUGUAGCGGUGAAAUGCUUAGAUAUGACAUAGAACACCAAUUGCGAAGGCAGCUGGCUACGCAUAUAUUGACACUGAGGCACGAAAGCGUGGGGAUCAAACAGGAUUAGAUACCCUGGUAGUCCACGCCCUAAACUAUGGAUACUCGACAUACGCGAUACACUGUGUGUGUCUGAGCGAAAGCAUUAAGUAUCCCACCUGGGAAGUACGAUCGCAAGAUUG
rnacentral:rRNA from 1 species